AGAUAAUAGAUACCCGGGUAGUCCACGCCCUAAACGAUGUCGACUGGUUGUUGGGGGUUUGACACUCUCAGUAAACGAAAGCUAAACGCGUGAAGUCGACCGCCUGGGGAGUACGGCCGCAAGGUUAAAACUCAAAGGAAUUGACGGGGACCCGCACAAGCGGUGGAUUAUGUGGAUUAAUUCGAUGCAACGCGAAAAAACCUUACCUACCCUUGACAUGUCCGGGAGCCUGCUGAGAGGCGGGUGUGCUCGAAAGAGAACCGGAACACAGGUGCUGCAUGGCUGUCGUCAGCUCGUGUCGUGAGAUGUUGGGUUAAGUCCCGCAACGAGCGCAACCCUUGCCAUUAGUUGCCACCCGUAAGGGGGCACUCUAAUGGGACUGCCGGUGACAAACCGGAGGAAGGUGGGGAUGACGUCAAGUCCUCAUGGCCCUUAUGGGUAGGGCUUCACACGUAAUACAAUGGCGCGUACAGAGGGUUGCCAAGGAGCGAUCUGGAGCCAAUCCCGUAAAGCGCGUCGUAGUCCGGAUUGCAGUCUGCAACUCG
rnacentral:rRNA from 1 species